GGAAAUAUUUUAUUGAAACUUCGGUAGAUUUAAUUUAUUUCUAGUGGCGGACGGGUGAGUAACGCGUGGGUAACCUGCCUUAUACUGGGGGAUAACAGCCAGAAAUGGCUGCUAAUACCGCAUAAGCGCACAGGACCGCAUGGUCCAGUGUGAAAAACUCCGGUGGUAUAAGAUGGACCCGCGUUGGAUUAGCUAGUUGGCAGGGCAGCGGCCUACCAAGGCGACGAUCCAUAGCCGGCCUGAGAGGGUGAACGGCCACAUUGGGACUGAGACACGGCCCAGACUCCUACGGGAGGCAGCAGUGGGGAAUAUUGCACAAUGGGGGAAACCCUGAUGCAGCGACGCCGCGUGAAGGAAGAAGUAUCUCGGUAUGUAAACUUCUAUCAGCAGGGAAGAUAAUGACGGUACCUGACUAAGAAGCCCCGGCUAACUACGUGCCAGCAGCCGCGGUAAUACGUAGGGGGCAAGCGUUAUCCGGAUUUACUGGGUGUAAAGGGAGCGUAGACGGCGCAGCAAGUCUGAUGUGAAAGGCAGGGGCUUAACCCCUGGACUGCAUUGGAAACUGUUGAGCUUGAGUGCCGGAGGGGUAAGCGGAAUUCCUAGUGUAGCGGUGAAAUGCGUAGAUAUUAGGAGGAACACCAGUGGCGAAGCCGGCUUACUGGACGGUAACUGACGUUGAG
rnacentral:rRNA from 1 species